rnacentral:rRNA from 1 species
AGUCGAGGGGUAUGCUUCUUCGGAACAGAGACCGGCGCACGGGUGCGUAACGCGUAUGCAAUCUACCUUUUACAGAGGGAUAGCCCAGAGAAAUUUGGAUUAAUACCUCAUAGUAUAGCUGAAUCGCAUGAUUCUACUAUUAAAGUCACAACGGUAAAAGAUGAGCAUGCGUCCCAUUAGCUAGUUGGUAAGGUAACGGCUUACCAAGGCUACGAUGGGUAGGGGUCCUGAGAGGGAGAUCCCCCACACUGGUACUGAGACACGGACCAGACUCCUACGGGAGGCAGCAGUGAGGAAUAUUGGACAAUGGGCGCAAGCCUGAUCCAGCCAUGCCGCGUGCAGGAUGACGGUCCUAUGGAUUGUAAACUGCUUUUAUACGAGAAGAAACACUGCUUCGUGAAGCAGCUUGACGGUAUCGUAAGAAUAAGGAUCGGCUAACUCCGUGCCAGCAGCCGCGGUAAUACGGAGGAUCCAAGCGUUAUCCGGAAUCAUUGGGUUUAAAGGGUCCGUAGGCGGUUUAAUAAGUCAGUGGUGAAAGCCCAUCGCUCAACGGUGGAACGGCCAUUGAUACUGUUAAACUUGAAUUAUUAGGAAGUAACUAGAAUAUGUAGUGUAGCGGUGAAAUGCUUAGAGAUUACAUGGAAUACCAAUUGCGAAGGGCAGGUUACUACUAAUGGAUUGACGCUGAUGG